GUCGUACGCACUGGCCCAACUGAUUGAUGGUGCUUGCACCUAAUUGACGUUGGAUCACCAGUGAGUGGCGGACGGGUGAGUAACACGUAGGUAACCUGCCCCGGAGCGGGGGAUAACAUUUGGAAACAGAUGCUAAUACCGCAUAACAACAAAAGCCACAUGGCUUUUGUCUGAAAGAUGGCUUUGGCUAUCACUCUGGGAUGGACCUGCGGUGCAUUAGCUAGUUGGUAAGGUAACGGCUUACCAAGGCGAUGAUGCAUAGCCGAGUUGAGAGACUGAUCGGCCACAAUGGAACUGAGACACGGUCCAUACUCCUACGGGAGGCAGCAGUAGGGAAUCUUCCACAAUGGGCGCAAGCCUGAUGGAGCAACACCGCGUGAGUGAAGAAGGGUUUCGGCUCGUAAAGCUCUGUUGUUGGAGAAGAACGUGCGUGAGAGUAACUGUUCACGCAGUGACGGUAUCCAACCAGAAAGUCACGGCUAACUACGUGCCAGCAGCCGCGGUAAUACGUAGGUGGCAAGCGUUAUCCGGAUUUAUUGGGCGUAAAGCGAGCGCAGGCGGUUGCUUAGGUCUGAUGUGAAAGCCUUCGGCUUAACCGUAGGUGUGCUUCGGCUUCCGGGCGNCUUGNGUGCNGNNGNGGCCCGUGGCCCUCCCUGUGUCGCGGUGGNNUGCGUNGNUUUCUUUAGAAACCCCGGNGGCGGGNGCGGCNGUCNGGUCNGCNGCNGNCGCNGNGGCUCGNNNGCNNGGGGAGCCCUCUUGAGGNNNNNCCNNNNNNNNNCNNNCAANNNNNGAGGCCCUUACGGAAGGAAAGUUCCGCCCUUCAGUGCCGGAGCUAACGCAUUAAGCACUCCGCCUGGGGAGUACGACCGCAAGGUUGAAACUCAAAGGAAUUGACGGGGGCCCGCACAAGCGGUGGAGCAUGUGGUUUAAUUCGAAGCUACGCGAAGAACCUUACCAGGUCUUGACAUCUUGCGCUAACCUUAGAGAUAAGGCGUUCCCUUCGGGGACGCAAUGACAGGUGGUGCAUGGUCGUCGUCAGCUCGUGUCGUGAGAUGUUGGGUUAAGUCCCGCAACGAGCGCAACCCUUGUUACUAGUUGCCAGCAUUAAGUUGGGCACUCUAGUGAGACUGCCGGUGACAAACCGGAGGAAGGUGGGGACGACGUCAGAUCAUCAUGCCCCUAAUGACCUGGGCUACACACGUGCUACAAUGGACGGUACAACGAGUCGCAAGCUCGCGAGAGUAAGCUAAUCUCUUAAAGCCGUUCUCAGUUCGGACUGUAGGCUGCAACUCGCCUACACGAAGUCGGAAUCGCUAGUAAUCG
rnacentral:rRNA from 1 species